CAGAUUGCAGGCUGCAACUCGCCUGCAUGAAGUUGGAAUUGCUAGUAAUCGCGAAUCAGAAUGUCGCGGUGAAUACGUUCCCGGGCCUUGUACACACCGCCCGUCACACCAUGAGAGUCGAUAACACCCGAAGCCUGUGAGCUAACCGCAAGGGGGCAGCAGUCGAAGGUGGGGUUGAUGAUUGGGGUGAAGUCGUAACAAGGUAAC
rnacentral:rRNA from 1 species